rnacentral:rRNA from 1 species
AUAAGCCACGGCUAACUACGUGCCAGCAGCCGCGGUAAUACGUAGGUGGCAAGCGUUGUCCGGAUUUAUUGGGUUUAAAGGGUGCGUAGGCGGCCCUGUAAGUCAGUGCUGAAAUAUCCCGGCUUAACCGGGAGGGUGGCAUUGAUACUGCAGGGCUUGAGUACAGAUGAAGUAGGCGGAAUUGACGGUGUAGCGGUGAAAUGCAUAGAUAUCGUCAAGAACACCGAUAGCGAAGGCAGCUUACUAAGCUGUAACUGACGCUGAGGCACGAAAGUGUGGGGAUCAAACAGGAUUAGAUACCCUGGUAGUCCACACUGUAAACGUUGAUGACUCGAUGUUGGCGAUACACAGCCAGCGUCCAAGAGCAAUCG